UGAGUUGUUUGUGACGAGUCUUUUUUUUCCACGAGUGUUGGCGUUAAGAAGAACACCGAGACCAGAAGCUUUUUCUUUUUUUUCUCCUCCUGCGUAAAGACCACAAGCAGAGGCCAUCUACAUCGGAUCUGCUUUAAUAUCAACAGAUCUUCGAUUAAGUAUACCGCUUCUUGGCAUCUGUGGGCUCUUCCAAACGGCAUCUCACUGUACUUGUAUACUGACAAUAAAGAACAUCUACUUCUACGCUACUAUCCAAGCACACAAAUGAAUAAUUCAGUACCCUUUUCAAACUUAAAUAAAACAUUAUGAAUCAGUAACGUUUGUAAUAAUUCUUUUUUUAUUCAUUCUGUGUGCAUAAAGGGCAGAUAAAACAUAAUCAACAACAUAUAGGAUAGGAGCACAUAGGAUAACAGAGGAGCAACAGCUUUCAACUGUAGGUGCAACAACAUCUCAUUCUCUCUCUCUCAUUCUCUUUCUCUCACACACACACACACACACACACACACACACACACACACACACUCUCUCUCUCUCUCUCUCUCUCUCUCUCUCUCUCUCUCUCACACACACACACUUCAGAAAAGAAGAAUUCUCCGAUUGCCAUGCUUUGAGCUAAAACGCCUGACAAAUUCAUCCAAAUCCUUUCAUCAUUUGAACCUGCACCAUCCGAUAGAGCUAAUACAGAAAUAUGUCACAAAAUAAAUAACCCGUAUUUCUAUUCAAAAUGCCAUCUGACAACUACCAAUUUAGUUAUUUUAAUAAAUAAAAUGCAAUUAAGUACAUUACACCCAUACAACAUGGCAUCAUUACCUAGAGGGUUACUAUUACAGCUAAAGUUGAACUACAUACAAGUCUAGAACUAAAGUAGACCCUUAAACUGUGCAUUUCUCUUCUAUGCAAUCUCAAUUAAUACCAUUUCCAGAAAUACCGGUACAAUACAUUGUAUUAUUUGUAGUCAUCUGGUUUUGCCUACUACAUCAUGUUUUCUUUGACCUGGUGAAGAGGGGCUUGGGCUAGCAGACUGCUACUGCAGUUGUUGACCACCCUGUGGUGCUGGUGCCUGCGUACUUGUGCUGCCCUCGUUUAAACCCUCACUUUCAGUUUUUCUUUUGAUAAGAAACUGCUGAAUUCCCUGCGUCUUUCUUUUCAUGCUCUCUCUGUCUCUAUAUCUGCCAAACACGAUAGUUAAGAUUAACACAAAAUCUUGAGCUUUGAAUAAACAGGUCAAAGCUAUUGCUAUCUUACCAAACAAAUUACAACUUAACAUUGCUAACAAGCGCACUGCCACCAACAGUUUGGGGGUGGAACUGCACCAGUAUUGAAUUCUCCGGUUGUUCUUCUCGCCAGUUGAUUGACAGAACAGGGACACUUCAGGGGCCAAUCAAAUUAGAGGUGGGGCCACGGCCCCUGUGGCCCCGCACCUAGAACCGCCCCUGCCAAGGGGUGUCGGUCGUACUAACGCACACCUUUUUAAGUGGCAUAAGAAGGUUGAGACCUGUAUAUAUAACUUCAGAAAACAUAUCUAGCAAAUCUUCACAGCUUCCAUGAGGGGUAAGCAGGCUGGGCCAAUCAAUGCCAUUGAGAUAUCUUCCCAGUUCAGCUUUAUGACUUUCUUGUUUAUCUCGCUUGAGAACAAAUUUGGUUGUGCUCCUGUUUUCCCGAUUCUUUGCCUGUGCUGUAAUGGUAUCAUGGUCUGAAAGAUCUUAGGGUCGUCAUUGAACUCAAGUAAAUUAGUCAGCAUCAGAUCGAGGAUUGCAUCUUUUCUAGUUGGCUUCUUCACAGUUUGUUUAAGACGAAACUGCUUCUUCAGUGAUUUGACAUCUAGGUGGUUAAAAUUGCUUGCAAUGAUGAAUGCACAGUUUGGAUAGCGUGACUCAGCAAGUGAGAGGGACUUGAGCAAAUAAUCACACAUGGAAACGAUCUCAGACCAGUGAGGGUGGUAUAGUACCGCAAUGACAAGGGAGGAGAAACCUCUUGGGAGUUGGUUUGGUCGCAAAUGCACCCACAAGAUUUCAUGAUCAUCACAGCAUGAUAGUUCUUUGGACAAUUUGUAUUUUAAAUAUUCUUUGAUGUAAAGGCAAACCACACCAUGAUUAUUUGUUAUAUGAUCUCGCCGUGCAAUUGAAUAUCCGGGUAUAUCAACAACAGUGUCCACAAUAGCUGGUUUCAGCCAAGUUUCGGUGAUAAAAGCAAUGUCAACUUGAUUGCACAGGAUACAUUCUUGCACUUCGGUGAUCUUUGGCACUAAAGACAUCACAUUUGAAGUCACUAUCUUUGGGACAUGAAAAACUGACUUCUUGAUUACCUGGUCAGUACGAUUUGAUUUUAAAGUUCCCGCCACAGUUGAGCAAUCUCUGUCAGAAGCAAGUCUGGUAAAGGUAUUAGGUUGAAUAUUUAAUGUGGCUAGCAAGGAAUAAUGCAAAUUUUGAUCUUUCUGAGUUUUGGUAUCCAUCGUUGUAAAAUCAGUUUUCAGAAGAUGAUGAAUGAUUAACUUGUAAAAUCGAUCUACCAAAAGAUUUUGACUUUUGUUGACCUGCUCUGCAGCCCCGACGAGUUGUUUUUUUUCCUAGAAAUUCUGAGGUCGACCAAGUUUCGCCACAGACUCGGAGACAAUGGUUUGUUGGAAAUUGACGAAGAAAAUUGCACUGAGAAAGGAGCGAGUGUAAAACUUAGCCAUUUUUUCAGAUUAACAGGAGAUUUGAUUGAAAAAUAAAAUGAUAAAAGUCAUGAAAAGUCAGAGCAGAUUAGGAACAGUGUCACUCUUCAUUAUUAACUCAAAUUUUGCUCCUGAAAAUACUGAGCUGAUACACCAGCUGGUGUACAAGCCUCUUGUGCACAGGCAACCAGCUGUGUCCUGUACCGUGCUGAGAUUGUCUGACAAGGUGGAUGAAACUCUGAAGGAUUGUUUCAAUACAACGGUGUGGGAUUUAUUCAAAGAUUCACAUGGGGAGGACAUCGACAGCCUUACAGACUGCAUUACAGACUAUAUUAACUUUUGUGUGGAGAACAGUACAAACUAGAACUGUACGCAGGGUUUCUGCAGGCUUGAACAAGUUCAAUUUAAGACUUUUUAAGACCUUUUUAAGACCAUAACAGGUUAAAUUUAAGACUUAUGCCGCACAAAAAAAAAUAAAGAAAAUUGGGAGAGCCUGAAUUACUUUCGAAAUAACAAAAUUUAUCAUCAUUCACCAAUGAACCCAUUACAUCCCUAGGGUGCGCUCUUUCAUUAAUGAGGAACUAAGUUGCAGUGGAGCCAAAGACAUCCUGCAAAUCACUUGAGGAUGAGGCAUUUGAUUCCGUACGGUUUGCGUGUUGUAACGUUACAGUUUGCACGGAGUUAGCUGAUACACCGUCUCGAGAUGUGCUUGGACCUGACAACGGUGAACAAAAUUGAGUGAUGGCAUGCGAAUGUUGCAGACUUUUAUGGGCAGCCUGGUGCUUCUCCGCUUUCACGUGUGAUUCCAGUGCCUUUACACCCAGGGUGCUGAGUUUGAGUGUUCUUUUGCACAAUGUGCAGUACGCCUCAAAUGGAUUGUUUGGUACACGUUUUAACCAGUCUACGAAAUCAUUGCGUUCAAGCCAGCAGUCGUUAAACUUGCAUUUGCCCAUUUUGCUACAAACCGUGACAAUAGGGCUGUGUGAUAUGGGAAAAAAUGAAUAUCCUGAUACAUUUUCUCCAUUUCACGAUAUAUCUCAUCUCAUCUCAUUAUCUCUAGCCGCUUUAUCCUUCUACAGGGUCGCAGGCAAGCUGGAGCCUAUCCCAGCUGACUACGGGCGAAAGGCGGGGUACACCCUGGACAAGUCGCCAGGUCAUCACAGGGCUGACACAUAGACACAGACAACCAUUCACACCUACGGUCAAUUUAGAGUCACCAGUUAACUUAACCUGCAUGUCUUUGGACUGUGGGGGAAACCAGAGCACCCGGAGGAAACCCACACGGACACGGGGAGAACAUGCAAACUCCACACAGAAAGGCCCUCGCCGGCCCCGGGGCUCGAACCCAGGACCUUCUUGCUGUGAGGCGACAGCGCUAACCACUACACCACCGUGCUGCCUAUAUACGAUAUAUAUCUCAAUAUAUUUAAAUCUCCUCUAAAGGACCCCAUGAAAUCUAACUUUUACUCUUUACUGUUUUCACUACAAUCCCUGCAGAUUAAAUAACAUUCUUGGUUAACUUUACAGGUGGUUUUCAACAACACAUUUUAAAUUUUCAUGUUGGUGAUUAAUCACAAUUGAAUUGAAAUAAGACUAUUUUUAUUCAACAAAAAUGUGGCACAAACUGCAAAAACAAUCUUGAAAAUUGCAACAACGGGGCAACACAAUACAGAGCUGCUCAGAGCUCAAAUCAAUAAAGUGCAAGCUCAACACUGAGAAAGACAUUUAGCCUCAAUAAGAAAAGUGCUCAUUCAUUAAAUUAUUUAAAAAAAUAGAUCUCCAAGCUAUUAACCUGACUACUGAGAACCACUGGAGCAUUCACAAUAGAGAGAGAGAUUGAGGGAGAGAAGAGAGAGAUCUGCAAAACAUCAUUUUUCUCUUUGCACACUUUUGAACUGAAUGUUUUCUGGCUCUGCCUCUCAGAUAUGUAUAAUUCCAGUAUUGCCUUCUCUGUAAAAUGUCUGCGACCAGGCAACUCAUCGAGUGUGUUUAGUAAUUUUUGGAAGCCUGGUUUUUCCACUAUACUAACUGGGAUCAUGUCUUCGGCAAUGAAGUUAGUGAUUGCAUCCGUUAUAGCUCUCCAUCUCUGACUCGUUUUCUCAUAUGGGGUGGCUUUGGAGAACGAGGCCGCUAUGGUCAUUUGUUUAGCUCGUGGGGGUUUUUAGCUCGUGGGCAAGUAGUUCAGAGUUUAAGAGACUCUUCAUACUGUACCGGGUGCGUUUCAGGUGAUGGAACAUAUUUGUCGUGCUGCUGCCUUUCGUGAUGACAGGUUUUUUUGCACACUUUACAAACUGGCAUUUGCUGUUCCACGUCCUCCUCGCGAUAUCCAAAAAAUGCCAGAUGACUGACCCCUUACUAGUUCUUUUAGGAACCAAUUCGUCUGCUUCCAUUUUUAAUUUGUCGCUGAAAUUGACAGAGCUUACACGGUAGCCUAUGCAACACCAGCAAUUGCACGAACUGAGUCAGCACUGUAAACCAGAACCAGGAAAUCUUCCCGCCAGCAGUGUUGCCAGAUACUGCUGACGUUUUCCAGCCCAAAAUAUGUUCAAAACCCGCCAAAACGCACUUAAAACCGCUCAAUCUGGCAACACAACCGAAACUAGAAAAUCUUCCCGGAAGUUCCUUUCAGCACCUAGAUGCCAACCAAUCCCGGGUGACAUCUAGGUGCUGAAAGGAACUUCCGGGAAGAUUUUCUACGUGCAGAAUAAUUCUGCACGUAACCUAGGUCUUAAAUUACCCAAAUGAGAUUUUAGACCAACAGUGCAAAAUAUCUCUGUAUUUUAGACUUUUUUAGGCCUAAAAUUGAAAAUGUGUAAUUUUAGACUUUUUUAGACUCCGUGGACACCCUGUGUACAGUGUUUCUUCAACAACAAACCGUGGAUUAAACUGGACAUAAAGACUCUUCUCAAGGAGAAGAGGAGGGUUUUCAGGCCUGAAGACAAGCAGGAGCUGAAGGCUGUGCAGAGGAAGCUGAGGAGAAGGAUUAGAGAGGGAAAGAGGAGCUACAGGAGGAAAAUGGAGGAGCAGCUGCAGCAGAACACCACCAAAGGAGUUUGGAGAGGACUAAAGACCAUCUCUGGCUACCAGUCUUCAAACUCCCAGGCUGAGGAAGACCAGCAGUGGGCAAAUGACCUGAAUCACUUCUUCAAUAGAUUUGAUCAGGCGUCUGCACCUCCCCCGGCCCAGACACCUCGGCUGCAGCCCUCGUCGUUCACACCUCAAGGACUCUGCCCCUCCCCUACCUUCUCCCUCCUCCCAAUGCCUAGCAGCUCACAGCCACCACACACACACCAACUCCCACCCCCACUCACCACUCAUGGAUUCAUACAUCACCCCACAUUAAAACCACCACGAACACACAGCCCACCUGCUCCAACCUGUCCCUCACAACAUUCCAGGUGAGGAACCAGCUGAGGAAGAUGAAGGCAAGGAAGGCUGUGGGUCUGGAUGGAAUCAGCUCCAGGCUCCUCAGGUCCUGUGCAGACAAGCUGUGCAGGAUAGUUGGACAUCUGCUCAACCUGAGCUUGAAGCUGGGGAGAGUACCACCGCUAUGAAAGACAUCCUGCAUGGUACCUGUGCCCAAGACUCCACACCCCAAGGACCUCAACAGCUACAGGCCAGUGGCACUACCAUCACACCUGAUGAAGAUCCUGGAGCGGUUGGUCCUGGUUCAUCUGUGCCCCGUGGUGUGCCCGUCCAUGGACCCGCUGUAGUUCACCUACCAGCCAGGCAUCAGGGUGAACGACGCCAUCAUCUUCCUCCUUCACCAAGCUCUGUCUCACCUGGAGAAGCCUGGAAGUUCUGCAAGAAUAACAUAUUUAAUAAAAAAAUAUAUAUUUUUUAUUUCUCCAGUGCUUUCAAUACCAUCCAGCCUGCACUUUUGGAGGACAAGCUGGAGCACGCAGGAGUAGACCACCACCUCACAUUGUGGACUACCUCACUGACCGUCCACAGUAUGUGAGGACAUGGGACUGUGUCAGACAUGGUUGUCUGCAGCACAGGGGCCCUGCAGGGAACAGUUCUGGCCCCGUUCCUGUUCACCCUCUACACUGCAGACUUCUCCUAUAAUUCACCCACCUGUCACCUGCAGAAGUUCUCUGACAACUCUGCUAAUAUUGGUCUUGUCACAGAUGGGGCAACAAGGAGUACAGAGGACUGUUGCAGGACUUUGUGGACAGGUGCUAGCGAAACCACCUCCAGAUCAACACAGGGAAAACUAAGGAGCUGGUGGUGGAUUUUUGCAGGUGCUCUCAUUCCCCCCAAACACCAGUCAGCAUCC